rnacentral:rRNA from 1 species
AACGAACGCUGGCAGCAGGCUUAACACAUGCAAGUCGAACGGGUGCAGCAAUGCAUCAGUGGCAGACGGGUGAGUAACACGUGGGAACCUUCCUAGGGGUACGGAACAACUCAGGGAAACUUGAGCUAAUACCGUAUACGUCCGUGAGGAGAAAGAUUUAUCGCCCUUAGACGGGCCCGCGUCGGAUUAGCUAGUUGGUGGGGUAAUGGCCUACCAAGGCGACGAUCCGUAGCUGAUCUUAGAGGAUGAUCGGCCACACUGGGACUGAGACACGGCCCAGACUCCUACGGGAGGCAGCAGUGGGGAAUCUUGGACAAUGGGCGCAAGCCUGAUCCAGCCAUGCCGCGUGAGUGAAGAAGGUCUUCGGAUUGUAAAGCUCUUUUGCCAGGGACGAUAAUGACGGUACCUGGAGAAUAAGCCCCGGCAAACUUCGUGCCAGCAGCCGCGGUAAGAC